GGAGAGGAGGGCGGUGCGUCUGCGGCUCUCGGAGCGCAUGAGCGCGGCCGGCAGCGGAGCGCGGGAGGCGGGAGCUGCUCCGUCGGGACGGGCAGCGCAGCGCAACGCGGGGCUUCGCGCCCGCACCGCAGAACUGCCUCUGACUCUCAGUCCAGAAAGAAGAAGCAGUCGUGUUGAUUUAAGUUGAACAUUUGUGUCUAAGAUUACAAACAAAGCCAUGCCAGUGCUUUCGGAAGACUCAGGCUUACACGAAACUUUAGCCCUUUUGACAUCUCAGCUGCGACCUGAUUCAAAUCAUAAAGAGGAAAUGGGGUUCCUUAAGGAUGUCUUCAGUGAAAAGAGUCUCAGCUACCUGAUGAAGAUUCACGAAAAGCUCCGUCAUUAUGAAAGACAGAGUCCAACUCCUGUUCUGCACAGCGCAGCAGGAUUAGUUGAAGAUGUAAUAGAAGAAUUGCAGACUGCACCAGUGAAUAAUGAAGAAAAAGAGCUGCUUCAGCUGCUGUCAACACCGCAUCUCAGGGCAAUGCUUGUAGUUCAUGACACUGUAGCACAGAAGAACUUCGACCCCGUCCUUCCACCUCUGCCAGAGAACUUUGAUGAUGAUUUUGAUGAAGAAUCAGUGAAAAUCGUUCGGCUUGUGAAAAAUAAAGAGCCCUUGGGAGCUACCAUCAGAAGAGAUGAGCAUACAGGGGCUGUGAUUGUAGCACGGAUCAUGAGAGGUGGUGCAGCUGAUCGCAGUGGUCUUGUCCACGUCGGAGAUGAACUGAGAGAAGUCAAUGGUAUUGCUGUGCUUCACAAACGACCUGAAGAAAUAAGUCAGAUUUUGGCACAGUCUCAGGGAUCGAUAACAUUAAAAAUAAUUCCAGCCAUCAAAGAAGAAGAUCGUCUAAAAGACAGCAAGGUGUUUAUGAGGGCCCUUUUCUGCUAUAAUCCCAAAGAAGACAGAGCCAUUCCCUGCCAGGAGGCUGGUUUGCCCUUUAAGAGACGACACAUCCUGGAGGUUGUAAGCCAAGAUGAUCCUACAUGGUGGCAAGCAAAGCGUGUUGGAGACACCAACCUCAGAGCAGGCUUGAUCCCCUCGAAGCAGUUCCAAGAAAGACGACUGACGUACAGAAGAAGUAUGGGCACCCAGCCGAACCCCAGAACUGUGAAGAAGCCAUUAUAUGAUCAGACUUCUGAUAAAGAGGACUGCGACUGUGAGGGAUAUUUCAAUGGACAUUACAUAGCUGGCUUACGCAGGAGCUUUAGGUUAAGUCGUAAAGAGAAGGAGAACAGUCCUACCGAAGCAAAGCAGGCAGAGCAGGCAGAUGCUGCAGAGCUCCUAACGUAUGAGGAGGUCACAAAGUACCAGCAGCAGCCUGGGGAGCAGCAGAGGCUGAUUGUUUUGAUUGGUUGUUUGGGAGCCAGAUUAAACGAGCUCAAGCAGAAAGUUGUGUCAGAGAACCCACAGGAGUACGGUGUUGCAGUUCCACAUACAACAAGGUCAAAGAAAAGUCAUGAGAAAGAGGGAGUCGAAUACAACUUUGUCUCUAAGCAAUCAUUUGAGACAGAUGUGCAGCAAAACAAAUUUGUGGAACAUGGAGAAUACAAAGAAAACCUGUAUGGCACAAGUCUUGAGGCAAUCCGGUCUGUGAUGGCCAAAAAGAAGGUUUGUUUGGUGGAUGUGGUUCCUGAAGCAGUGAAGCACUUGAGGACUCCUGAAUUUAAGCCUUAUGUUAUCUUUGUGAAGCCCCUCAUUCCAGAAAAGAAAAAAAAUGUCCUAAAAUCUCCUGUGUCAGAAGAAAUCUCGACACCCCUUCAGGAUGAAGAGCAGCAGGAAAUUAUAAAUUCAGCAGCAUUCAUCGAAGAGCACUAUGGCCAUUUAAUUGACACUACGCUGGUGAAAGAAGACCUCCAGAGUGCAUGUAACCAGCUUAAAACUGUGCUAGAUAAGCUAAACAAGGAUUCAUUUUGGGUGCCAGUCAGCUGGGUUAGGUCAUAGUUUGCUAUCAUCUGUUUAAAUGAAAGAAUUUAUUUAAAAAGCCUUGUAAAUAUAUGGAUGACAAAAGGGAAAUGUGUUGAUUUCACUGCAAAACUGCCAUUCUCUCUAGAAAGUAAUAUGUAAAGACUACAGGGGAAAAAUAAAGUCAGAAGCUGAUACUGCCUUCUUGAAUUGGAAUCCUGAGUACCAGCUGUGCACUCUCAGCCUGAACAGGUUAGUAAAAGACUGGAGUGACUUUUAGACUGCAAAUAUUGCACUUUGUAAGGGAAAAAUGUGCAGAGGGUCCCAUACUCCAAAAGCACUGAAGUGAUGUUAGAAGCUUCAGCGUUUGGCCAGACCUCGUGUGGCAUCUGAACAAGAUUCUUCAUCCAGGAGCAAGUCUGCUACUUCAGGGGUGAGGAAGAGAGCCCUCACCCUGUCAGUUCCUUAAAUGUCCAGCUGGCUUUCUUCCACUCAGUAUUUCUGGUUGCAAAUCCUUUCUAAUUAGGCACAACAACUAGACUGGCUCAGUAAAUCGUCUGUGUUUUAGCAGCUGAGGGGUGGCGGUGGGACUUUUGUUCGUAUUGUUGGUUCUGUUUUUCCAGCUCAGCCCUUUCCCCGUGCUUCUGGCUGUCUUGCAUAGGUAGAAAUUAGUCUGCUCAGCUAUGGCUUUUGCCCGCUUUCCCAGUCGCUCUCUUCCUAACAGCACAGGAUAGAUGUUAAGCAGCCUGUAAACAUACCUGUGUGAUUGAUCCAGCUCAUAACCCAGGGACGUUCUUUAGCCUACCUGAAAAGUGUGUAUGGUGUAAAACAUGACUUGAAGAAGCUUAUUUUCUACAAGGCAUCUUUGCAAAUGCCAGCUGCUGGGGCGCCACGUGGACAGCAACAGAGCAGCUCUGCAAAGGCUGCCAGGAGGGGAGGCUGAAACGCCAGGAAGCUGAGCUACAGCACUGAAUCAUCAUUCUCCCAGCACUUACGAAAACCUUUGUUACAAAUCAAGUGAAGGCAACCUUAUGUUACCUUUGUGGCAUGGCACUUGGCUCCAUCACGUCUUGAAGAGGAAAUUUUAUCUGUUGGAGGACUUGGCAGAAAGAAUAUGCAGCUUUUUAAGGUGGGCAGGUCCAAGAAAACGCAUUGAUUUUGUGAGUACAGUGCAGGUGUGUAUUACCUGAAACUUGUUCCUGUUUUCCAUUGCCUGUUGAGUUCUAAUCUUUCCUCUGUACUGUGCCCUCUAACAACACCUUCUGGUACACUGGUCUCAUUCUUUUAACAGUGUGAUGUUAUUCUUGUUCCAGAGCAUUCAGCAAAACUGACACCAUUACUUAUUAAAAGCGUAUUUCUUAUUUAGUGUCUCCGAAUCUACAUUAACUCCAGCCCAAAAAGUUGGCUGUCCAUCUUCUCCGAAUGCUAACUUCCAAGUAUCACCCUGCAAAGAACAGCACUUCCUGCAGUCUGCUAGAACUGCUCUGGCUUGUCAGAAAACACGCUGCCAGACUGGAAGCCUCCCAGCAGCUGUACAAGGAUUCCCUCAUGUGGUUGUGGCCCAUCAGCUCUGCCAAUGAGCUGCUGCAGCUUUGGCCCAGCACAGCCACCAAAGGGAGGCGAGUAGGAAGAGACAGGAAAAAAAAUGAGUGCAGUAGUUUAACAGCAUCUCAAGCUAAGGAGAUUUAUUAAAAUAUCAAUCAAUAUCCUACCAGAUCGAUCUCACCACAGGAUAUAUAUUGCAGUUUUCAGGGUAAAAUAUACAGCUCCCAUUAAACAUGACCUAAAAUAUUCAGUGUCAGUUAAAUAAUCUUUUUUUUUUUUUUUUUAAGUUAUGUGCAGAUAUUCCACAUUGAUGUACACUCCCACAGAUCAUAACUUAGAUACUAUCAGAAACAUUUGUUUCGCUUUUCUGAUUGAGGACUUAUUUAGGUUCAAAGUAAAUGAUGGGGAGAGAAUAUAUACAUAUAUAUAUGUACAUAGUAAAGAAAAAGAAACAGUCAGUGCUUCUGUGUAUUCUCCUCUUUAUUCUGACAGUCUCAGGAAAAGGCACACGUAACAGAUGUCUGUUUCCAGGACAAGAUUCCAAUUCAGACAACACCGAGUCAAGGCCAGGCCUGGUUUGUGCUCUGCAGCGAGGAGGGGCAAAAAGAAGAGAUUAUAAAGAAAGCCAGCAUGCAAACUUCCUUGAGUUUGAAGUCCUGCUUUUGUGCAAGGAAGAGCUGUGCUUAACAGCCACAGUACCUGAGGUUGUCAGGCAGCUCCCUGUCCUUACACUGACUGCAUCUGAACUGCUUUCCUUUCUAAAAUGAGUCAAGCAGAGUACAGCCAGGGAACUCUCAGGCACACAGCUUAUUCAAAACCAGGUGAGUUUAUCUCCAGCCACAUUUGUUGUUAGGAUUAAGAUGGCAAUUUACUAUAGAACAUA